AUGAAUAUUUUAGCAAGCAACUGUAAUACGGAAACAAACACUCAAGAUGCCACUCCCAAAUUUAAGAAUGAAGUAGUCCACAGUCUGGCUUGUUCAUCAGACAAAGUCCUGGCUGUCAGAAGCUACUUUUCUUCUCACUGACUACAAUACCAUAAAAGGAAAUGGGUCUUUGAUCAUCCAAUGAGGCAAUGCAGGGAAAUAUACAAAUUCCCAAUAUUU